rnacentral:RNase_P_RNA from 1 species
AAGGAUUGGCAAUCUGCCGCUAGCAGCAAGACUGCUGGAGGAAAGUCUGGGCAGCAUAGAGCAUCACGCUUCCUAACGGGAAGAUACUCGCAAGGGUAUAGUAGUGUAACAGAGAAUAACCGCCCUGCUUGCAGGGUAAGGGUGAAAAGGUGGGGUAAGAGCCCACCGGUAGCCAUGGCAACAUGGUUAGCCGUACGCCUGGUGAGCUGCAAGACCAUGUAUACCGACGCUUAGGGUUGCUCGCUCAAGUCGGGGGGUAGGUCGCUAGAGCUGACAGGUGACUGUCAGUCGAGAUAAAUGGCAGAGCCUCGCAAGAGGAACAGAACCCGGCUUAUCGCCAAUCCUUUUUU